CAAGGAAUUUUCGGCAAUGGGCGCAAGCCUGACCGAGCAACGCCGCGUGCAGGACGACGGCCUUCGGGUUGUAAACUGCUUUUCGGGGGGAAGAUACGGACGGUACCCUCGGAAUAAGCCACGGCUAACUCUGUGCCAGCAGCCGCGGUAAGACAGAGGUGGCAAGCGUUGUCCGGAUUGACUGGGCGUAAAGCGCACGCAGGCGGUCGCUCAAGUGGGGUGUGAAAGCGGGCCGCUUAACGGCCCGAGGCCAUCUCAGACUGGUCGACUAGAGAGCGGCAGAGGUCGGUGGAAUUGCCGGUGUAGUGGUGAAAUGCGUAGAGAUCGGCAGGAACACCCAGGGGGAAACCAGCCGACUGGGCCGCAACUGACGCUCAGGUGCGAAAGCGUGGGGAGUGAACUGGAUUAGAUACCCAGGUAAUCCACGCCGUAAACGAUGGACGCUCGGCAUCUGGGGCGGUAGUCCCCCGCUCUGGGUGCCUCAGCUAACGCGGUAAGCGUCCCGCCG
rnacentral:rRNA from 1 species